ensembl:lncRNA
UGGCACGUGCUCCUGUCUGGAUGCAUGUGGGGCUGCGGUUGUUCUUGCUGUGAAGUUGGUGUAGGUGGCAGCUGAGAGUCUGCUCGCUUCACCAGGGUUCCCUGAGAGGCAGCAGACACAGUGAAAAUCAGAUGUUGUCAAUCUGCUUGUAAUUUUUACAGUUUGUCUUUCAAUGCAGAUGAAACUAAUAAAUAGAGGAGGAAAUGUAGCUUGGCCCAAAGUUUUGACAAGCAGCAAAAAGCAAAUAUUUGCACAGAUGUGCUGGCUGCUGCCUUCCAUUCGGGAUCGUGGUAUAUUCAGAGCAUCUCGUGCUCAGCUGAGUGGUUUGCUGGGCUCAGCCAGAGAGGUCGGUGUGACGAAGGGAAGUGCUGGAUGUGCUGCCCCGAGCCCUGGGGCCUUCCCCCCUGAGCUGCCCUCCUGCUGUGACCCACUUCACUGCAGAAAGUAAUGUUUAAACCACCAUAUACCUGUCAGCGUAACACACCCUCUGUACUGUUUAACACUGGAAUCUCGCCGUGAUGCUCGUGUCACUUUCCGUACCGCUUGUUGCGCAUUAAAGAAGUCACUCAGCUGUGCUGCCAUCAGUGUUCAUUAAUUCAUACAGAACCCCGAGGGAAUCGCUUAUUUCUGCUAUAAAAUUAAUGGAAAGUACUGAAGGUAAGGCUGCACAGUGUAGCAUCCUCAGUGUAAAGGGCUGAGCCCCAUCCCUGGGGGCGGAGAGCACCCUCUGGCUCUGGUUCCCUGUCUCGGGAUGCUGGGAGCUGUCUGGUUUGCUCUUUUGGAAGGGCCGCCCUUCAUCAUCCCUUUGCUUGUGUUUAUUCCUCACCUGAUUGAAAUAGACCCAACUGGGUUCCAUGUUUACGUUCUAGGACCAGCUCUUCAAUAACAUCCCAGCCACAGAGAAGUUUAAAAUAGCCUUACCUCCUCUCAGUGUCAGGAAGAGCUCUGUCAGCCCUGGUGGUGGGGAGGAGCUGGGCCCAGCUAUUCUUAGCAGCAACCUCUUUCCAGCCUAUAUAUGGGAGCUGGAGGCCACACUGCUCCCAGGCGCAUUUAUCGCCGCGGUGCUGCAGCAAUCUGUGCUGGGGGAUCAGGGCCAGGGUGCGGCUCAGACCUGUGAGCUGGCAAACCCUCUCUGCUCGGCCUUGCUCAGGGAGAUGCUUUGCCCACUUUCUAUUUAAUCUUUCCAGCCACUGGCAUCUGCCAAAUGGCCGCCCCACAGCAUGAGGAGGCCCCAUUCCAAGUGCGGCCGACAGCAACGUGAGCAUGUAAAUGGGGUGCGGCAUAAAGAGAAUUUCCGUGAAGAGCCCUCUGAAAAAUUUGUUGUUGCUAAGAAAUGUUGAAAGCAAAAAACAAUAACGUGGCUGCUGCCAGAGCAAUA